GAGAGAGAGUGAAAGAGAGCAUGAGAGGGGAGAGGGGAGGGGGAGCCUGCUGCUGGACUGGAUAGGGGACUCCCAGAUCAUGACCUGAGUGGAAGUCAGUCGCUUAACCCACUGAGCCACCGAGGUGCCUGGAACAGCACUGUUUUAAUUAGUCUAUCUACAGACAAAGCUCUGAUGACAAAGCCUACACCACAUGUCCAGAGUAAUGCUUGCUUUAAUAAGAGUCAAAAGAAAGGAAGAUCCCCAAGAAUAUAAAAAGAAAUAACGCUACUUGGAAAUUCAGACUCCCUGGGACCCUUCUUCCCUAAGAUACGAACUCUUCCCACUGAUCCAUCCAUCAGAAGGAAUGCACCAGCAGACGCCAUUCCUGCCCUCCUGCUUCAAACCCAGGCGUAUCAUAUGACUGAGCAAAUGAAUACAGGUGUUGAUGUUAAAAGAGUCGGGGUUCUCAAUCUGGAAGAAGAAACACAUUUAAUGGAGGGAAACAAAAACUGUGACAAUGGAUUGGAAUUGGAGACAUCAGUGUGGACUCAUGGUUUCUAGACUAUGUAUGGCAACUUCCCUGUAGCCUAAAAACAUACCAAGCCUCUACCAUCUUUAAAGAAAACACAAAACGUCCAACCAUUCCUUACCACCUCCACCGCCCCCAUGACAAAGCUCUCCCCUCCCUUCAUAAAAACCACUGUGGAUUCGAGGACUGCUAUGCGUCAUGAACUUUACCCUACAUGCCAGACAGCCACGAUACCCUGUUUCACAGGUGAGAAAAUUUGGGCUGAGAGAGGAUUUGAACCUAGAUCUGCCUCACACUGGAACUGUCCAGUUAGGUGGCCACGGAACACUUCGAAUGGGGCUGGUCAACUGAGACGUGCAGUAGGUGUAAAUACCAGAUUUCAAAGACUUU